rnacentral:rRNA from 1 species
GUCCAGACUCCUACGGGAGGCAGCAGUGGGGGAUAUUGCACAAUGGGGGGAACCCUGAUGCAGCGACGCCGCGUGGGUGAAGAAGUAUUUCGGUAUGUAAGGCCCUAUCGGCAGGGAAGAAUUUAGACGGUACCUGACUAAGAAGCCCCGGCUAACUACGUGCCAGCAGCCGCGGUAAUACGUAGGGGGCAAGCGUUAUCCGGAUUCACUGGGUGAAAAGGGAGCGUAGACGGCCAUGCAAGCCUGGAGUGAAAGCCCGGGGCCCAACCCCGGGACUGCUCUGGAAACUGUAAAGCUGGAGUGCGGGAGGGGCAGGCGGAAUUCCUGGUGUAGCGGUGAAAUGCGUAGAUAUCAGGAGGAACACCGGCGGCGAAGGCGGCCUGCUGGACCGUAACUGACGUUGAGGCUCGAAAGCGUGGGGAGCAAACAGGAUUAGAUACCCCCGUACC